rnacentral:rRNA from 1 species
GGUUAAGAACUUGGUUAAGGGAUCUCAAAAUUUUUAUGUUAUGCACUUAAUAAAAACCUUGGUAGAAAAUAGUUGGACGUCUCGCUACGAAAAGUUAUAGGGAGGCAUUGGCUUGUGAUUUAUAAAUUUCCGUAUUAAAAGUAAACUUGAUAAAAUUUGUGAAAUAUAAUGUGAAUUGAAUCAUCUUAGUAACAUUAGUUAUUAAAUCAAUAGAGAAAUCGUAAAUAGUGGUGAACAAAAACGAUAUAAAAGCUUAAUAUGAGAGGUUCUUUAUUAUAAUUUACUACAAAAGGUUUAAGUCCUGUAAUAGUGAAAGUUCUUCUUAACAAAAAAAUUAUAAGUAGUAUGAAUUAAAACUUGUAUGAAUACAGAAGAACCACCUUCUAAGCUGACAAAAAUUUUUUAACCUAUAGUAAACGAGUACCGUGAGGGAAAGGUAAAGAUAUUUGAUAAAAAUAAUUUAAAUUGGGUGUUUCUAAGUUUUCGAAGUAUUAAAACAACGAAGUGCCUUUUGCAUAAUGAAUCAGCAAGUUAAUGUAUAUAGCAAGUUUAAUUAUUAAUGAGUAAACAUUUAAAGUAAUAUAUAUUAAGCCUGAAACCAAGUGAUCUAAUUGUAAGCAGGUUGAAAAAACUUUAAAAAGUUUUUGAGGACCGUACUCGUAUAUGUAGCAAAAUAUAGAGACGACUUGUAGUUAGGAGCGAAAGACUAAUCAAACUUGGAGAUAGCCGGUUUUUCACGAAAUGUAUUUCAGUACUACGUUGAUCACUUUAAUUCUUAAGUUAGAGUACAAAAUGAAUAAAGGGAUGUAAAAGUUUACUAAAUUUUUUUUAACUCCAAAUUAAAGCAUUAAAAAGAUCAGCAGUCAGUCUGUAAGCAAUAAGGUUUGCGGACAAAAGGAAAACAAUCCAGAGCGUAUAUUAAGAUUUUUAAAUUAUAACUUAGGGAAGAAAACUAAAAUAAGCUCAAAUAAAAAUUGGAUAGGCUUAGAAGCAGUCACUCAUUAGAGAAAGCGUUUUAGCUCAUUAUUUUUCUUUUUUUGGUUUAAAAUGUAUGAAAACUUUAAGUUUUAUAUCGAAAUAGCGUAUUAAUACAAUUUAAUGGUAGUGAAACGUUCUGUAAAAAUUUUUGAAUUGUAAAAUUAUGAGAAAUUUAACAGAAAUGCUAAUGCUGAUAUGAGUAGCGUUAAUUACGUUAAUAAAUCGUAAUCACUAAAUGUUUAAGGGUUUCAAUGUAAUUUUAAAUACAUUGAGUUAGUCGGUCCUUAAGAGGGGAAUUAAAAUUGUACUCGAUAGGAAAUUGAUAGUUGUAUUAAACUUUUUAUAUGUGUUAUUUUAUUAAAAAUAUGAAAAAAGUAGUUUCUGACAGUUUUAGAUAUAAAAAGGCGAAAAAUUGACUAAAACUACUUUCGAGAAAAAAUUAUAAAAAAUUAACCGUACUUAAACCGACACAGGUAAACUGAUUAAAAAAAUUAUAAGUGAAUGAAAGAAUUAUAUUGAAGGAACUCGGCAAAUUGACUCUGUAUGUUCGCUAUAAAGAGAGCCUUCUAAUGAAGAUGGUAGCAUAAAAUAAGAAGUAACGACUGGUUAUCAAAACCACAGGACUCUGCAAAUUUGAGAAAAACAGUAUAGAGUCUGACGCCUGCCCAGUGCUUAAGAAUAAAAAAAUGUGGUGUAAUGCUUGUUUAAAAAAUCUAAGUAAACGGCGGUUCUAACUAUAAGAAUCCUUAGGUAGCGAAAUUCCUUGGCGGGUAAAUUCCGUCCUGCAUGAAUGGCGUAACGAUUACUUCACUGUCUCCAAUAUAACUUCAGCGAAAUUACAUUAUCCAUGAAAAUGUGGAUUACUUGCAGUAAGACGGAAAGACCCUAGAUCCUUUACUUUAAUUUUAAAUUGUAAAAAUUUAUUUAAAUGUAUAGAGUAAGUGGAAAUAAACUUUUAUGUCCUUGAAACACCACUCAUUAAGUUUAAUUUUUACUCAAUUUACAAAUAAGAUUGUAGAGACCAUUUAAAAGAGAAAGUUUACUUGGGACGAGUACCUCCUAAAUAGUAACGGAGGUGUACGAAGGUAAGUGACAAUUAUUUAUUAAAAAUAAUGAAGAGUAUAAUGGCGUAAGCUUGCUUGACAAUUAAGAUAUAUAAAUCAAAUUGCGACGAAAGUCAGUCAUAAUGACCCGAUAUUUAAGCGUGGAAUUAAUAUCGUUCAACAGAUAAAAGGAACUCUAGGGAUAACAGAUUCAUCGUGAUUGAGAGUUCAUAUUAAUGUCACGGUUUGAUACCUCGAUGUCGACUCAUCUUAUCCUGGAAUUGAAGUAAAUUUCAAGGGUCUAGUUGUUCGCUAGUUAAAAAGGUACGUGAGUUGGGUUCAGAACGUCGUGAGACAGUUCGGUCCCUAUCUACUGUAAGAUAAAGAAAAAUAAAAAGUGUAUUCUUAGUACGAGAGGAUCAGGAUACUUUAACCUAUGGUUUAAUGAUUGUUAGAGCCAUUAGCAUAGUCAGGUAGCUAAGUUAGUUUUUAAUAAAUGUUGAAUGAAUCAAAUAUAUUAAAUAUACUUAAAAUAUUUUUCACGAAUAAUCUAAAAGACGAUUAGAAAGAUCGGUUUGAAAAAAUAGUUUAGCAAUAAAUACGUUAUAAAAUGUUACAAAUCCGAAUUAUUCAAAAAAAUUGAU